rnacentral:rRNA from 1 species
GACGUAGGGUCCGAGCGUUGUCCGGAAUUACUGGGCGUAAAGAGCUCGUAGGUGGUUUGUCGCGUUGUUCGUGAAAACUCACAGCUUAACUGUGGGCGUGCGGGCGAUACGGGCAGACUGGAGUACUGCAGGGGAGACUGGAAUUCCUGGUGUAGCGGUGGAAUGCGCAGAUAUCAGGAGGAACACCGGUGGCGAAGGCGGGUCUCUGGGCAGUAACUGACGCUGAGGAGCGAAAGCGUGGGGGAGCGAACAGG